rnacentral:rRNA from 1 species
GGGUAUAGUUCUUCGGAAUUAGAGACCGGCGCACGGGUGCGUAACGCGUAUGCAAUCUACCUUUCACAGAGGGAUAGCCCAGAGAAAUUUGGAUUAAUACCUCAUAGUAUAUCGAGUUGGCAUCAACAUGAUAUUAAAGUCACAACGGUGAAAGAUGAGCAUGCGUCCCAUUAGCUAGUUGGUAAGGUAACGGCUUACCAAGGCAACGAUGGGUAGGGGUCCUGAGAGGGAGAUCCCCCACACUGGUACUGAGACACGGACCAGACUCCUACGGGAGGCAGCAGUGAGGAAUAUUGGACAAUGGGCGCAAGCCUGAUCCAGCCAUGCCGCGUGCAGGAUGACGGUCCUAUGGAUUGUAAACUGCUUUUAUACGAGAAGAAACACCUCUACGUGUAGAGACUUGACGGUAUCGUAAGAAUAAGGAUCGGCUAACUCCGUGCCAGCAGCCGCGGUAAUACGGAGGAUCCAAGCGUUAUCCGGAAUCAUUGGGUUUAAAGGGUCCGUAGGCGGUCAGAUAAGUCAGUGGUGAAAGCCCAUCGCUCAACGGUGGAACGGCCAUUGAUACUGUCUGACUUGAAUUAUUAGGAAGUAACUAGAAUAUGUAGUGUAGCGGUGAAAUGCUUAGAGAUUACAUGGAAUACCAAUUGCGAAGGCAGGUUACUACUAAUAUAUUGACGCUGAUGGACGAAAGCGUGGGUAGCGAACAGGAUUAGAUACCCUGGUAGUCCACGCCGUAAACGAUGGAUACUAGCUGUUGGGAGCAAUCUCAGUGGCUAAGCGAAAGUGAUAAGUAUCCCACCUGGGGGAGUACGUUCGCAAGAAUGAAACUCAAAGGAAUUGACGGGGGCCCGCACAAGCGGUGGAGCAUGUGGUUUAAUUCGAUGAUACGCGAGGAACCUUACCAAGGCUUAAAUGUAGAUUGACCGGUUUGGAAACAGACUUUUCGCAAGACAAUUUACAAGGUGCUGCAUGGUUGUCGUCAGCUCGUGCCGUGAGGUGUCAGGUUAAGUCCUAUAACGAGCGCAACCCCCGGUUGUUAGUUGCCAGCGAGUCAUGUUCGGGAACUCUAACAAGACUGCCAGUGCAAACUUUGAGGAAAGGUGGGGAUGAACGUCAAAUCAUCACGGGCCCUUAAGCCUUGGGG